rnacentral:tRNA from 1 species
GGAGGGGUUGCAGAGCGGCCAAAUGCAGCAGACUGUAAAUCUGCCUCCUAUGGAUACGGUGGUUCGAAUCCACCCCCCUCCACCA